rnacentral:misc_RNA from 1 species
GAAAUGCGAUACGUAAUGUGAAUUGCAAAUUCAGUGAAUCAUCGAGUCUUUGAACGCACAUUGCGCCCCCUGGUAUUCCGGGGGGCAUGCCUGUCCGAGCGUCAUUUCUGCCCUCAAGCACGGCUUGUGUGUUGGGCCCCGUCCUCCGAUCCCGGGGGACGGGCCCGAAAGGCAGCGGCGGCACCGCGUCCGGUCCUCGAGCGUAUGGGGCUUUGUCACCCGCUCUGUAGGCCCGGCCGGCGCUUGCCGAUCAACCCAAAUUUUUAUCCAGGUUGACCUCGUAUCAGAUAGGGAUACCCGCUGAACCGAGGC